UACGUAGGGUGCAAGCGUUGUCCGGAAUUAUUGGGCGUAAAGAGCUCGUAGGCGGCUUGUCACGUCGAUUGUGAAAGCCCGAGGCUUAACCUCGGGUCUGCAGUCGAUACGGGCUAGCUAGAGUGUGGUAGGGGAGAUCGGAAUUCCUGGUGUAGCGGUGAAAUGCGCAGAUAUCUGGAGGAAUACCGGUGGCGAAGGCGGCAUCCUGGACCAUUACUGACGCUGAGGCGCGAAAGCUAGGGGAGCAAACAGG
rnacentral:rRNA from 1 species